rnacentral:rRNA from 1 species
UACGAAGGGGGCUAGCGUUGUUCGGAAUUACUGGGCGUAAAGGGCGCGUAGGCUGUGCUGUAAGUCAGGCGUGAAAGGCCCGGGCUCAACCUGGGAACUGCGCUUGAUACUGCGGCGCUGGAAUGCAGGAGAGGAUGGCGGAAUUCCCAGUGUAGAGGUGAAAUUCGUAGAUAUUGGGAAGGAACACCGGUGGCGAAGGCGGCCAUCUGGCCUGCAAUUGACGCUGGAGGCGACGAAAGCGUGGGGAGCAAACAGG